UGAAUACCCCGCUUCUGCACUCUCUCCUCUGGAUCACCUUAUCUCUCAUAAAAUCGCAUAGAGCCAUUCUCUCUCUCUCAAACCCUAGACACAGCCACUGGCCAUUCACGACGAUGUCUUCUUACCCUUUCCUUCUUCCUUGCUCCAUAUUUUUGACCUUCGUCGGAGCUAUCUUCUUGUCCCCCGCUGCCACCAACAAACCACAACCUUAUUCAAUACCCUAAAAACCAGACUAAUCUUUCACCUCUCAUAAUCUCUCUCAUAACAGUUAGGGGAUGUUUUGUAGGCAAGAAUAAAGGGAGGAAUGAAAUGGGAUAUUCAGGGGUAAUGAAAAAAAAAACAUGUUUGGUACGUAUAAGGAAAUGAAAGCCCUAUUCUUGAAGCAAUCUCAUUCCCCCAAAACACGGGAUUUUCAUUCCAUGGGGUACCCCCGUUUUUUUCAUUCCAUUCCCUCCCUAAAAUUGUAUCUUCUGAGAUUGCCCUCUAUCAGCCUUUCAAAUCGGAAGCGUAGGCACGAAAUCACUAAAAAUCAUCAUCACAUCUUCAAUUGAUUGAGGAAAAGAUAUCGAUUUUGCAUUUGGAUAUCAUAAUCGCAGCGUUUUCCCUCACAAACGCCGACUAAUUUCCAACGAAAUCAUUAGAAUAUUGUUUUUUGUGAAUCAUUACGUGAUCGACCACCAAAGCUUCAAGACAAUUUCAAGUAUAUUUCAUCACAGCUCCAAGAAUUUCGAGGUAUUUCGUUAUUGUCAACAGCAACCUAAAAAGUCAAAAUGUUUGAUUUGUAAAACAUCAGAAAAUUUGUGGAUAUGUCUUCUAUGUGAGUUUGUUGGGUGUGGGAGGUAUAAAGAAGGGCAUGCAGUUGAAUACUGGAAACAAACACAACACUGCUACUCUCAGGAACUAGAAACACAACGUGUUAUGUUGGUCAUCUUUUAUACCUAUGGAUGCAGAAUCCAAAAGAGUAAUUGACUGGAUGAAGAAAGCUGUGUAUGAUGCCAGACAGUUGAAGUCACCAGGCACCCCGGUCACCGGAGCUAUAGUCGGAGAGGUGGCGGCUAGGGCAGCACUGCUGUUUCAGCAAUAAAAACAUAUUGGCUGAAGAGGAUCCAAAAGUUAAUUUAGGAGAACUUAAAAGAUUUUCUUUAACAGAAUUACAAGUGGCGACGGAUGGUUUCAGCAAUAAAAACAUAUUGGGUAGGGGCAGAUUUGGAAAAGUCUUAAAAGGGCGAUUAGCAGACAAGUCCCUCGUUGCUGUAAAAAUAUUGAAAGAAGAGAGGACGCCAAGUGGCGAGCUCCAGUUUCAAAUAGAAGUUGAGAUGAUUAGUAUGGCUGUACACAGAAAUCUCCUUCGAUUAAGGGGCUUUUGUAUGACACCAACUGAAAGAUUACUUGUUCACCCCUACAUGGCUAAUGGAAGUGUAACAUCAUGUUUGAGAGGCUAGAUACUUCUUCCAGCAGCUUAUAUCAGGAGAUCACUACUGCCAUUUCAUGGUAAACUGACAAUACAAGUAUACAAUCGUAUCUAAAUCUUGAAAAAUCAUGAUAUGUUUUAGUGAAGUUACUCCUCAAAAGUCGAUUUUGGAGUUGUUGGUCGAAUCCCCUAAUGUCGAUUCCCAAAUGAUACUAUACUGGAACUUUGGAAAUCCACAAUCCUUGGAAGCCAUUGUAGAACAAGUUCGUGAUGGAAGUUCACUUCGUGUUUAUCUGCUUCCAGAGUUUCAGUUUGUCCAAGUAUUUGUUGCUAGAAUCUAGGCACCAUCAAUGGGGAGAAGCACAACACAAGAACCUACAAUACCAAUUGAGGUCCCAUCCGAAGAGACAACUGGAGAAAAUAAUAAUUCAGGGUCACGUGGGACCUUAACAUCAGCCCAAAGAAUCUCAGCCUCAUCAGGCUUCAAUGAAGUGUCCCCUGAUCCUUAUAGGAGGGAAGCUAAACAUUUUACCGAGAUCCAUGUUCUAAAUAAAGAUGUUCGGAUUGUUCUGGAGGGCGUUGACAAGUUUAGCAAUCUGAUUGGUUAUGUAUAUUAGUCUGAUGGAGAAUCAGCAAAGGAUCUGGCAAUGGAGCUUAUUGAAAACGUACGCACAUUGAGAGAAAAGUAUCCGAAGCUUGAUAUAAAGUUUGUGCAGCAACAACUUUCAUAGUUGUUCCAUCUUCCCGCUCUUGAAGAGUCUCCCCAAUACAAGCAAUCACCUUCAAACAUUGAAAAAGCGCAUGCGUAACUUUUUCUCCAACAAACUGAUCAAAAAAGUGUAGUCUUGCAAGUUUGUACCCUUAGUAUACCAAAUUGCUUCAAGGUUGGGUAGCUAAAAAGAUAGCCAGGGACCUAAUACUCUUCAGGAUUGUUCUGAAUUAUUAUGACCAUUUUGCUCUCAUAGAAAUUUUGACAUCAACAUACAUGGGCACAUUUCUUUUAGUGUAGAUUUUGUCGAAGAGAAAUGACACCAAAGAAGAUAAGUAUCUCAUGUUGUUUGUAUAUAUACACUUUUUCUUCUUGUUUAAAAACUUAAAAACUAUAUAGUUGUGAAAAUCGAAGGUUCACACACCGUUUAUGUAGGCAACCUUAGCCCUGAAGAAGUACUUUUUCUACAAAUGUUGCUUAAGCUGAGGAUCAUAAUCAAACCCAAGCCUUGUGUUGGUGUAGGGCCUUUAUGUAAUGCACAACAGGUUUCCAUGAUGGCAUGAAAGUGAUAUUAAGUAUUUGCAUUCUUAUUAUAUUAUACCCCUUACAUUUUCCCAAAUUACCCCUUCCUCUACAAUGUUUUUUUUGUUUCUGUGUAUUUUGUGCAUCAGGUAAAGUUGAUGGAAGAAAGGAAUAUGAAGCCACUUGAUUUAAAUCUUGCAGCAUUAUCAGCAAGAUGCAGUAAAGACUUGGAGUUGAAUUUGGCUAAGUCAUUAUUGAGUGAGAUGGGCCAAUGUACAACUGCUUAUCCAUAUAAUCAGCUGUUUGUAGCAUUAGUCUUAAAGAAUUAUGAAAGGCAAGAUGCAACUUUACUUAGUUGGAAUUUGAUGUACAUAAUAGAUUAGAUGCAAAUUUAUAUAUUGUAAGAAAUAGAAUUGUAUGACAUUAAAUUUAUGCAAUGGAUUCUAUUUUUUGUA